AGCUAUUCUACCGCAGACAUAACCCCCACCGCCCGUUCUCUCAUCUUUUUCUCUUUCUCUCCCCACGUCUCUCCUUCUUAGCCUUCCCUUCCUGUUUCCGCCCUAAGGUCAUAGACGAGCUGAACUGUGUGAGAUCCCAAGCAUUUGGGGUAGCAGUGCUCCAAUCGGAGCACCGAUGGCUUCCUUAGUCUAUUGUGCAAAAGUGCCUGAGGCCCCUGGACUCAGUGUUGAUGUUUCUGGGCAGCUGCAAGACAGGUUGGCAAAUCAGCGGACCCAUUAUGUGUUUCAUGUGAUGUACGUCACUGAGGUGCCAGCGAGAUUUCACAUCCUAGUCCUGAUUUUUUUGGGGAGAAGAAAACAAUCAGAUCUGAAGAUGAAGUUCCACGUGUGGACAGAUGAGCCAGGACACCCGAGAAGACGCGAUCUGACUCAUUAGCAGCUUUCAGUUUCUUCCUUGCUGCCCCUCCAGCGUUGCACAGAAAGACCUGUCAGUCAAGCGGGCACACAGCUUCUGUUUUGGUGAUUCCAAGAUGCCUUAAGACAACUAGGCAAAAGCUUGUGGCUGAUUGCCCAGGCUCCUGAAAGUACAGCCCAAGGCAAGGCUGUUUGAGACAGGUUUGUAUCCGGCUUUUGUAGCCGCAAACCUCAAUAAACCAUUUCCACCUUGGCCAGAGAGGGAGCAGUACCCACAGUAGGAGGACCAAUGGCAAAGUAGUGAUAGAGGCAAGAUGUUAAUGGGGAUAGAGAGGACUGAGUGGGGACAGGAACAAGGCCUUGAUGGGAUAGAGAACACUCAUAUUGAUGCUAGAGGGAAGACUGUGAUGGCCAAACAAAUGCUAAGUAUAAAUAAAUAACAAAAAUUUAAAAAUUAGUCUGAUGGGCAGGUCAAAUGGCUCUGUGGGUGAAGGCCCUUGAGGCCAAGUCUGAUAACUUAGCCAACUCUCUGGACCCUCACGGUGAAAAGGGAAAGCCAACAAGAAUUGCACACAUGUGCACACAUGUGCACACAUGUGAUGACACAUGCGCACACACACGGACAAAUAACUAAAUGCAAUUUUUAAAAAUUGCUGUAUGCUGGCUAGCUUUAUGUCACCUUGACACAAGCCAGAGUCAUCAGAUAGAAGGUAACCUCAGUUGAGACACUAAGAAGAUUGGGCUAUAGGCAAAGCUGUAGGGCAUUUUUUAAUUUUUAAAUAAUUGGUGGGGAAUGGCCCAGCCUAUUGUGAGUGGUGCCACCCCUGGGCUGGGUUCUAUUAGGAAGCAGAACAAACAAACCAUGUGGAGCAAGUCAGUAAGCAGCACCCUCUGUGACCGCUGCAUCAGCUCUGCCUCCAGGUUCCUGCCUUGUUUGAGUUCCUGUCCUGACU